GCCCGCUCAAGAAACUCAAAUGAAGUUGACGGGGGCCCGCACAAGCGGUGGAGCAUGUGGUUUAAUUCGAUGAUACGCGAGGAACCUUACCUGGGCUCAAAUGUAUGUUGACGUAUUCUGAAAGGGAUACUUCUUCGGACAAUAUACAAGGUGCUGCAUGGUUGUCGUCAGCUCGUGCCGUGAGGUGUCGGGUUAAGUCCCAUAACGAGCGCAACCCCUAUCAUUAGUUGCCAUCAGGGUCAAGCUGGGGACUCUAAUGAAACUGCCUACGCAAGUAGUGAGGAAGGUGGGGAUGACGUCAAAUCAGCACGGCCCUUACGUCCAGGGCUACACACGUGCUACAAUGGCCGGUACAAAGGGCAGCUACCUGGUGACAGGAUGCUAAUCUCAAAAGCCGGUCUCAGUUCGGAUCGGAGUCUGCAACCCGACUGCGUGAAGUCGGAAUCGCUAGUAAUCGUGAAUCAGAAUGUCACGGUGAAUACGUUCCCGGGCCUU
rnacentral:rRNA from 1 species